GAUUCCAUCCUUCAAAAUAUUGGGAUUUGUAGUCUUUAGGGAACAUUUUUUAUCAAUCACAGGCAGGGAUUUCUUGUGUCUCAACAAACAAUAAGUCCCAGGAUUCAGCCAUGGCAGUUAAAGUGGAAUCAUUGUGCUGUAACCGUGGAUUAAGAAAGGGCUCCUAAGCAGAAAUCAGUAUUAUAUGGCAUUUGCUAUUACAGUAGAGUCUCACUUAUCCAAUCUAAACGGGCCGGCAGAAGCUUGGAUAAGCGAAUAUUUUGGAUAAUGAGGGAUUAAGGAAAAGCCUAUUAAACAUCAAAUUAGGUUAUGAUUUUACAAAUUAAGCACCAAAACAUCAUGUUAUAAAACAAAUUUGACAGAAAAAGUAGUUCAAUAUGCAGUAAUGUUAUGCUGUAAUUACUGUAUUUACGAAUUUAGCACCAAAAUAUCACGAUAUAUUGAAAACAUUGACUACAAAAAUGGCUUGGAUAAUCCAGAAGUUUGGAUAAGCGAGGCUUGGAUAAGUGAGACUCUACUGUAUUGUAAACUUUUUAAUUAGCUUCCAAGCCAGUAUUGUACAAGCAUCAUAUGGGAAGAAACCACAGCAUUGGAAGGAGGAACAGCGAUGGGAAACUAAGUUUGUAGAAUUCCCCAUGGCUUUUGCAUGACACUGGAUGAUAGAUGAUACCCUUUAAGUGUCUUUGUACAACAAAGCAGAGCUUCUCGCAAGGAAGCAGACAUGGAAUUGAUGCAAUAUGGGCUUUUCCAGAGGCUGCCCCAAACCGAGCUCCAUGAAAAUGUCAAUGGAUCAGCAAGAAUGACCAAACGCUUCGCUGCAGUUUACAAAACAAACAGUUUGGAAAUCCUGAAUCUUGGCCAAGGAAUUAAAAUCCCAGCUCACGUCAGUACUGUAUUGUAAACGGAAGCACUGUCUGAGUCCACAGUAACCACAAGUGUUUCUAAUUAUCAUACAACAUGGAAGACACCUGAUCUUGUAUGAUCUUGGAAAAUACAUAUGGUGGAACCUGGUCAGUGUUUUCACAAAAGACCACUACCAGAAUACUAGGGAUCUCCAGAAGAAGAAGAUGUGCAAAGCCUUUGAUGGUGUGGAUCACAACAACAACUCAAACCACAAUUGAUCACUUGAGAAGAAACUGGUGUACCACAUUUGAUUGUUCUGAUGUGCUGCAGUCAAGAACUCAGAAGACACUUACUUGGAAGGGAAGUCACAAAGGAACUUGAUAAGAUGUAAAGGAGUCCCAGCCACUGAAGUUUUAAAAGCUGGUAAAAGGAACAAUAAAGACUGGCAACAAAGAAAAGUUACUGAACCCAAUCUGACUAAGUCCAACAAAUUAGAUAUAUCAAUUAUGUUUGGGCAGUACCAUUUCAGACUGCAGGUGAGUGAGUCAUUUAUUUUACUACUCUUCCAUAACAUCAACUUUAAACUAACAUAUUAGAAAUAUGUCUAGCCUAGACCUUUGCUCCUGGCAUAUUUGCCAUUUGAUAUGAAUAGAUAUGUGCCUAUAGGAGAAACCCGUAUACAGCUUCACCUGCAUUAUAAAGUGGCACAAGGCACUUCGGGCUUAUCGCCUCAGCAAGACUGAAACUGGAAACCAUGUUUAAAAAAUUGUUAUGUUUCCCUUCGACAAAAUUAUCAGUCUCUAAACCAAAGCUGAUAAAUCUCUGCAUAAAAUGUUAUUUAGUUAGUUCUUUAGUUUAUUUCUAUGCUACCUUUCUGAAAUCUGUCAAGACAGCAUAUAUUAUUGAAAAAUAAAACAACAAUUACACAAACAUACUGUGAUGCAAUACAAAGAAAAACAUAUUAAAACUAUAUUGAAAGGUCUACUUCCUACACAAAAAGAGAGUAGGGACCAAUUUACAACUUCAGAGUAGUUGGAAAUGGGAGCGGUCAACCCCCCUGCUUAAGGAGCUCCAUUGGCUGCCAUUCACUUUCCGGUCCCAAUUCAAGGUGCAGGUAAUCACCUACAAAGCCCUGAACGGUUCGGGACCUGUCUACCUUCACGACCACCUUUCCCCCGAUGAGACUACAAGAUCUCUUCGAUCUUCUGGGGAGGCUUUCCUCUCGUUCCCCUCACUAUCACAGGUUUGGAUUGUUGGAACGAGGGCCUUCUCUAUGGUGGCCCCUCAGCUUUGGAUUUCCCUCCGUAGGGAGAUCAGACUGGCCCCAACCCUGUCUGCCUUUAUUAAACAGCUAAAAACAUGCCUUUUUAAAUGUGCAUUUGAAUAAUCAAUGACAUGUUAGACCCCUCUCAUUGACAUACUGUUUCCUCACAUUUUAUUUUCCCUCCUACCUAUCCUAACCCAAAUUAUCUCAGGAAACGCUCUGACACUUGUCCAGGCACUUUAUUAAAGGUCUUGAAAUUAUGCACUUUUGACUUGAUCGCCCCCAUUUUAUCCAUUGAUGGUGAUGUUCUUUUUUUUUUUUACCUUCCCUAUCUGGAUAUUACCGUGUUUUUGUAUUUUGUGUUUUUAAUUUGCUUAUUAUAUCUGAAUGUUAUGUUGAUAUUGUUUUUAUAUUGGUUUUAUCUGUCAUAUUUUGUUUUUGUUUGGGCUUGGCCCCAUUUUAGCCACCCCGAGUCUCUUCGGGGAGAUGGUGGCGGAGUAGAAAAAUAAAGUAUUAUUAUUAUUAUUAUUAUUAUUAUUAUUAUUAUUAUUAUUAAAUGUUAUUGUGCUCUACCAUAAUAUAAUGUAAUAUACAUGGUGCUAAUGGCACUAU